AUUGAACGCUGGCGGCAGGCCUAACACAUGCAAGUAGAGCGAGCGGCGGACGGGUGAGUAAUGUCUGGGAAACUGCCUGCUGGAGGGGGAUAACUACUGGAAACGGUAGCUAAUACCGCAUAACACCAGAUGUGCCCAGAUGGGAUUAGCUGGUAGGUGGGGUAACGGCUCACCUAGGGCACGAUCCCUAGCUGGCCUGAGAGGAGGACCAGCCACUCUGGAACAGAGACACGGGCCAGACGCCGACGGGAGGCAGCAGUGGGGAAUAUGGCACAAUGGGCGCAAGCCUGAUGCAGCCAGGCCGCGUGUGUGAAGAAGGCCUUCGGGUUGUAAAGCACUUUCAGCGGGGAGGCGUUACCCGCAGAAGAAGCACCGGCUAACUCCGUGCCAGCAGCCGCGGUAAUUC
rnacentral:rRNA from 1 species